rnacentral:rRNA from 1 species
GGAAUCCUUCUUGGGAUAAUGACAACAACCAUGGACUUGUUGGCUUUUUCGAUCGGUGAAUUUCAUAUAAAAUUUCACCUGCGGAAUAGAGCUGACAACUUUACAUGGACUCUUGUCGCUGUCUAUGGGGCUGCCCAAGAUGAGCAUAAAUCUGCUUUCCUUCGGGAAUUGGUUAACCUGGCUAAGAAUAACCCGUACCCAAUGCUUAUUGGGGGGGACUUUAACAUUCUGAGGUACCAGGAAGAGAAAAAUAAUGACCGCUUCGACACUCAUUGGCCUUUCCUAUUCAAUGCUGUGAUAGACAGUUUGGAUCUUCGGGAGGCCAGUAUGUCGGGGCGUCAGUUCACUUGGGCGAACAACCGAUCUGUGCCGACAUACGAGAAGCUCGAUAGGGUACUAAUGGAUACCGAAUGGGAACUAAAAUUCCCUCUGGUAACCGUGCGAGCCCUAGAGCGUAUCGAGGCCUUAUCGGAUCAUGCACCCAUCAUUCUGGAUUCUAACUCUACGAACCCAGCCACCCGACGCCCUUUCAAAUUUGAAUUGGGAUGGCUGAAUAGGGACGGAUUCGUAGACAUGAUCAAGAAUGUUUGGGAGAGGCCCGCUGUUGGUCGUACACCUAUUCAACGAUGGAUCUUUAAAAUAAGAGCCAUGAGGCGACACCUCUCUGGAUGGGCAAAACACACCAACGGAAUAUAUAAAAAAGAAAAACAAAGGCUCUGUACCAUCAUUGAUGACCUCGACAAAAUUGCAGAGACACGCACAUUGUCUCAGCAAGAGAUUGAAUUGAAAAAUCAAUCUAAUGAGAUGGUUGCCCGUCUAUUGCGAGAAGAGGAGAUCAAAUACUACCAGAGAUCCAAAGCUGAUUUCAUUUUAAUGGGUGAUAGUAAUACAAGAUACUUCCAAUUGAUCGCCAAUGGGCGGCAUAGGAAGAAAUGUAUUUACAGUCUCCAACAAGAUGAGGGGAGGAUCGAAGGUCAGGAGGAGCUCAAAAAGUAUAUCACCAAAUACUACAAAUCUCUUUUCGGAGCGCCGACUGAAGGGAAUUUCACCCUUGAUGAAACCCGAAUAGAUGAUAUUCCACAUGUCACAGCAGAUGAAAACGAUAUCCUAACGGCACCAUUCUCAGAAGAGGAGGUACGAGCUGCGGUGUUCCAAAUGGAACAUAACAAAGCUCCA